AUGUUUCCCGAGAGAGAUUGCCUUCUCUCAGGCCAGCAGUCUUAUACUUAUAGUCGACUGCUCUAUGACGAUCUGACCUCUUUCCUGGGCUCUGCUUGCUCGUCUACGCUCCGACCAAUUCAGUCAAAAUUGAAAAAAUGAUGUUUCCUUGAAAAAGUCUAA
rnacentral:rRNA from 1 species